UGGGGAAUUUUGGACAAUGGGCGAAAGCCUGAUCCAGCAAUGCCGCGUGUGUGAAGAAGGCCUUCGGGUUGUAAAGCACUUUUGUCCGGAAAGAAAUCCUUGGCUCUAAUACAGUCGGGGGAUGACGGUACCGGAAGAAUAAGCACCGGCUAACUACGUGCCAGCAGCCGCGGUAAUACGUAGGGUGCAAGCGUUAAUCGGAAUUACUGGGCGUAAAGCGUGCGCAGGCGGUUUGCUAAGACCGAUGUGAAAUCCCCGGGCUCAACCUGGGAACUGCAUUGGUGACUGGCAGGCUAGAGUAUGGCAGAGGGGGGUAGAAUUCCACGUGUAGCAGUGAAAUGCGUAGAGAUGUGGAGGAAUACCGAUGGCGAAGGCAGCCCCCUGGGCCAAUACUGACGCUCAUGCACGAAAGCGUGGGGAGCAAAACAGGAUUAGAUACCCUGGUAGUCCACGCCCUAAACGAUGUCAACUAGUUGUUGGGGAUUCAUUUCCUUAGUAACGUAGCUAACGCGUGAAGUUGACCGCCUGGGGAGUACGGUCGCAAGAUUAAAACUCAAAUGAAUUGNCGGGGUC
rnacentral:rRNA from 1 species